rnacentral:rRNA from 1 species
AGAGUUUGAUCCUGGCUCAGAUUGAACGCUGGCGGCAUGCCUUACACAUGCAAGUCGAACGGUAACAGCACUUCGGUGGCUGACGAGUGGCGAACGGGUGAGUAAUACAUCGGAACGUGCCCGAGAGUGGGGGAUAACGCAGCGAAAGCUGUGCUAAUACCGCAUACGAUCUACGGAUGAAAGCAGGGGACCGCAAGGCCUUGCGCUCAUGGAGCGGCCGAUGGCAGAUUAGGUAGUUGGUGGGAUAAAAGCUUACCAAGCCGACGAUCUGUAGCUGGUCUGAGAGGACGACCAGCCACACUGGGACUGAGACACGGCCCAGACUCCUACGGGAGGCAGCAGUGGGGAAUUUUGGACAAUGGGCGAAAGCCU